GGGGCAUUAGCUCAGCCGGGAGAGCGCCACACUGGCAGUGUGGAGGUCAGCGGUUCGAGCCCGCUAUGCUCCA
rnacentral:tRNA from 1 species